AUUCCUACGGGAGGCAGCAGUGGGGAAUCUUGCGCAAUGGGCGAAAGCCUGACGCAGCAACGCCGCGUGCGGGAUGAAGGCCCUCGGGUUGUAAACCGCUUUUACCAGGAAGGAAACUGACAGUACCUGGAGAAUAAGGUGCGGCCAACUACGUGCCAGCAGCCGCGGUGACACGUAGGCACCAAGCGUUGUCCGGAUUUAUUGGGCGUAAAGAGCUCGUAGGCGGUUCAGUAAGUCGGGUGUGAAAACUCUGGGCUUAACCCAGAGACGCCACCCGAUACUGCUGUGACUUGAGUCCGGUAGGGGAGUGGGGAAUUCCUGGUGUAGCGGUGAAAUGCGCAGAUAUCAGGAGGAACACCAAUGGCGAAGGCACCACUCUGGGCCGAGACUGACGCUGAGGAGCGAAAGCGUGGGUAGCAAACAGGAUUAGAUACCCUGGUAGUCCACGCCGUAAACGGUGGGCACUAGGUGUGGGUUCCAACCAACGGGAUCCGCGCCGUCGCUAACGCAUUAAGUGCCCCGCCUGGGGAGUACGGCCGCAAGGUUAAAACUCAAAGGAAUUGACGGAAU
rnacentral:rRNA from 1 species